rnacentral:lncRNA from 1 species
AAAAUACUUGUUUUUCUUUUUUUUCCUAUUUAUAUAGAAGUGGUACACCAUCCCCCAAACGGACAUCCGUAGGUUCCAGGCCACCAGCAGUAAGAGGCAGCAGAGACCGUUUCACUGGGGAAUCAUACACAGUGCUAGGUAGGAUAAAACAAUAACUCUUAACAGUCUCAAAUUAAAGGCACCACAGCCACACUGAUAAAUUUUCUACUCCUCAGAGCUAGAGCAGUUUCCUGUGUAUUGAAUGAAUCUUUGCAGAGGUUUAUCCCUAUUGAAGCUUAAUUACUUGGGGGCUUUUGAAAUUUACUCAUUAGUCAUACUUUUAAAAUUCUUAUUUUAACUUACUAGUGAUUCCUAAUAUAAGCAUAACCCUUGAGAGGUUGGUAAGGAAGAAAAUUCUGAAGAAUUUUGUACUCAGGGAAAAAAAAAACUACAAAAGUAAAGUUAAGCAAGUACUCUGCAUUUAGUGUCUGUAUGUUAACAUGAUUAUUUUCAAAGAGAAAUUGAAUUUAAUUUUUUGAAUUAAAUUUGUGGAAUGAAUGAUACAUAAGAAUCUGUGUAAUUCCUGAGAAAGAGAUUAGAGUCGAGUAUCUUUCUUAUCUUUUGUAGGAGACACUGCUAUUGAAAGUGGACAACAUUAUUGGGAGGUCAAGGCCCAGAAGGACUGUAAAUCCUAUAGUGUGGGAGUAGCAUACAAAACUUUGGGGAAAUUUGACCAAUUGGGAAAGACAAACACUAGUUGGUGUAUCCAUGUCAACAACUGGCUACAAAAUACUUUUGCAGCAAAACACAAUAAUAAAGUCAAAGCUUUGGAUGUUACUGUUCCAGAGAAAAUAGGUGUAUUUUGUGAUUUUGAUGGGGGUAAGUUUACUUACUUUUUCAUAAGUCAUUUCAUCAUAACUACUUAUGUUUCAGUACUUUUCAUUGGUAAUCACCUCUACAGAAUUUCUGUUAAUAUCAUGGUAAGGACAUUUUGGCCAACUAGGUUUUGAUCACAAACAUAAUCUCAGUACUAGAGUUAGACUGGAAGGGCAUAUUAUGUCUGCCUGGAGCUCUAUAAAAGCACUCAUUUAUAAUAUGCUAAGUCUGAAAUAUUUUGCUAAUUUUAGUCUUAAACACUAAAAUUUUUCUUGUUUUUAUUCCUUCCUUACUGUUCUAUUACCCGUGUAUAAACAAUGGUGAAGUCAGAUUUUUUGAGUUGGAAUAAACCUUGGAAAUUAUCCAGUCCAUCUUCCACACAAUAUAAAAUUUGUAUUACACUAUUUCUGCAGGAGUUGCCACUUCUUUGCUCAAAUAACUUUUUAGUCUGAACAUUAUUGUCUUAGAAGUCCUGUUUCUUGGGAGGGCUCUUGAUUAGGUUUUUCUAAAAUGAACUCACUUUACCUCUCUGUAAUUUGUAAAAAUGUUGUUUUUAAAUUCUGACACCUGAAUAAACACAGAAUUAUAUUUUGUAAUUCACACAAUAAUUCUUAUUUGUUAAAAUGCAUUAAAUUGAUUUCUUUUCAAAUCCUUAUAAUCUCCUAAAGUGAUAUACUAUGUCAAUGCAUUUCUUAAAACAUUGGUUUUACAAUGUUUCUUUCCAAGUUGUCACUUUAAGCUAAUAAUGGAAAAUUUUUAUCAUUUUAAGUCACAUUGGGUCCAGACAAUCCCAUGCUGUCAACUUAAUCACUCAAAAAAGGAAAAAAAAAUUAAUUUGGGCCAAUUUAUUUUUAGUGAUGACAUGUCAGUUUGGUACAUUCUUUUUUACUUAUUCCCUUUGAAUAAGAUGAACCAUUUUCUACAGAAUGACAAAUUUACUGGUGCACUUUAAAAAAUAUAUAUUUUCAGCUACCAGGACAAUAUUUGCUUAUCAUCCUUUCUCCUUUCCCAUAUGGUUAUUUUAUAUAGAUGAUAGGGAGAAGUAAUUUUAGCUAACAGCAUAGAGUACAAAGGGGGAAGCUGUAAUGUAGGAUGUAAUCAGAUUCUGAGAGCCUUGAAAAAAUGUUUAUAGACUAGUCUUUAGUAGUGGGGAGGGUUGGCUGUGUACAUUUUAGAAAAAUAUAGUCAUGUGAUGAUAAUCUUAUAUUAGAAAUAUUAGAAAGUAAGUGAUUAAAAGACGGAAGAGAUUACAAAAAUAAAGAGCAUAAGACGUUUUAGGAGUUAGUCUAAAGUAUAAGGCAUGACCAUGUUUAUUUUGUUAACUAUUAAAUUGUUAUUGCCUGCUAAGUGCUUUUAACACAGGAAGUCCUAAUAAGUAUUUGUUAAGUGAUUGGCAACAAAAACCCAAGCAGUUGGAAAUCAAGAAUGAAAUUGAUGGUGUAAAAUUUAUAGAACUUGGUAACUAAAUAUAGAUUGGGGGAAGAGACAAAGAAGAAUGGAAGGCAGCUCUGAGGUUCCAGCCAGUGUGACAAAGAGGAUGGCAGUGUCAGUGGGUUAAGGAACAGAGAGAGUCCAGUGGAAAACUGAGAUUAUAGCAGGACAACCAUGUGACAUAUUUAGCAAACAUUUAGAAAUUCUUGAACUCAGAAGUAGAGCUGAAACUAAAUAUUUGAAGCAGCAGCACAGAGUGACUACUGAAGAUUACACAGAAUAAUAUGCUUGAACAUUAUUGCACUGUUGUUACUAACUUUGCAAUCAUGUAGGUUGCUUCAUGUUUUGAGAUAAUCAUAUAUAUAAAGCACCAAGUACUUUAACAGUAUACAUAAAUGUUAGUUUCUUUUUCUUACUCUCUGGUAGCAACUGGUUUAUUAAGAGAGCAUUUCAUAAAUGCUCUCUUAACACAGACAAAGCAGCUUUAAAGCAGAAUAGGAGGAAAAGGAAGAGAGAGAAAGUAUCUUUAGGGUUAGGAUUCAAACCAAGAAUAUAGUCAUUAAAGAAAGGCUUCGCGAACUAACAGUCCUAUGGAGGUCAUCAGAUCAGAUUAGAUAGGAGGUCAGAUGGAGUUAUUUUAAGGCAUGAUCCUGUUGAAAGACAGACUGUGAGGGGAUUUGAAAAUUAACAAAGCUGAAGCAGUGAUGAAUAUACUAUGAUUUCAGAGACUGGAGUAUGAGUCUGGCCUUAAGUAGUUAGUAUUUUAAAUAUAGUAAGCCUUAAAUAAAUAGAGGAUUUGGGUAGAGUAAAAAUAAGGAGGAAGAAACUUCCUUGUUUUUUUACUGGGCUCAUGAAAAUUUUUGUUAAAUAAUGAUAAAUAGUUUAUAGCUGAAUAAGUACAACAGUGUCAGAUUAUGGUGAAACAGUAUGGAGAUCUUAAAAACAAGGGGAAGAAGAAGAAAAUUGGAUUUGGGCAUUUUCUUAAGCACGUUCACUGAUUUUUCUAGUGAAAGUAAGUUCAAUCCUUAGAGUUUGUAAUAAAAAAUUAAUGCAAAGAUGGGCCUUAAGUUAUUAUUUUUGCAUGACUACACAUUAGACUUUAUUAGAGUUAUAAUUUCUUGUAUAAUAAAUAAAAGGCUUUUUUUCCCUCUUCCUUUUAGGUCAACUUUCUUUUUAUGAUGCAAAUUCAAAACAGCUGCUGUAUUCUUUUAAGACAAAGUUUACUCAGCCAGUACUGCCUGGUUUCAUGGUUAGUACCUAAUUUAUAUUUUAUUUAGUUUGACAACUUUAAGAAGAAUAAUCUUUAUUAUUUGGGAAGCAAACAUCCUAUUUUUUUCUUCAUAGUCAUCUCCCUUUCUCCAUUCCACUCUCUGAAAUAUGCAAUUUUUUCUGUACAAUUUUGGUAUACUUUGUUGAAGUCAAUGUUGAUAAAUAAAGGUACACAAAUCAUAAGCAUGUAGUUUAGUGAACUGUUAUAGGACUGUAUUUGCUUUUGUAACUAGACCCUAGGAUAAGAAAGAGAACAUUACCAGAAUCUCAGAAGCCCCUGUGCCCAUUUCCAGUCCCUAAUGGCUCGUCUCCAAAGUGUAACCAGUACUGUAAAUUUAAAUACCUUAAGUUCAUUUACCACUUCUUUAUAUAUAAGUGGAAUUAUAUCUUUCUGACUCCAAAUUAUAUAUGUGAGGUUUAUCCAUGUACCAUGUUGUAAUUCCUUCAUUCUCACAGUUAUAUAGCUUUCCAUUAUAUGACUAUAUAAUAAUUUACCCAUUUUAAUUUAGUUGAAUAUGUGGAUGGUUUCCAUUUGGGACUGUAUGUGUAUAUAAUUUCAGAUCUACUCAGUUACAGACUUACUUAUAUAAGAAAAAUUCAUAUUUCAUACAAAUUGAAACAUGGAUUUGAAUUCCUUAUUUUUAAGCAAAUGUUGUUGUUCCUUCCAACACCUUAACAUUCUACAUUUCUCCAUAAAGUUAGGCUACUGUGGGAAAUUCCAAGAUCCAGUUAAGGUCACCAUUACUUUGGUGAGAACUUUCCUUGAUGUGGGGACUCCCUGUAUAAAUCAGAUGAUAUAAUUCAAGUACAGGUUCUGUGGAGUGUUUUAUGUGUGUAGUCUUUCAUUACCCCUAAAUAUAAUCCCCCAAUAUGAAGAGGAAGUAUUUAGGAUAUAUAUGGGUUGAAAACACAGUGCUUUAAAUCUCAUGACAAAUAGUAUUUUUUUAUUCUAGAUACCCUAAAAUAUUAAACUUAAUGCUAACAAAGACUCCUGGUUUUUCACUGAAAUCAGAAGUAAAUAGUGAAUAAAGUUAUUGCUCAUGGAAAAAUUAUUAGAAGAUAUUAGAUGGAUUGUUUCUCUCUUUUUUAUUUUUUUGUUGCCUUUUUUUUUUUUUUUUCACUUUACUACAAAUCUCCACUGUAUUGGAUAUUUUGGGCUGUUUUUCCAAAUUGGCCAAUUAGAGACAAAUUGUUUACCAUAUGGAACUCAGAAGAGAUUUUUUUUUCAAUUCGUAGAUGUACUUUUAUAAAAGAUAUUUCACUUGUAAUAUGAAUCUAUUUCAUGUAGAUAGGUACUGAGUUUAUUCAUUGUUAUUUUCAUUCCAUAUAAGGAGACUAAUUACACAUCUGCAUCAUAAGAUGCUUUACAAAAUUAUUUUAAACUUGUUUUUUUCUUCUUUUAAGUCUUUUGUUUAUUACGUAAAUGAGUAUUAAUAUUUUCAUAUAUGAUUAAUUUUUAAAGCCAGGUUUAUGAGCUAUAAUUUAUAGUAUUGUAUAAUUCUGUGGGUUUUGACAAAUGCAAAAACAAAACCACCAUCAUGAUCAAGAUAUAAAACAUUUCAGCACUAUAGAAAAUUUCUUUAUAUUCCUUUGUAGUGGACGCCUCCCAUUACACCCAGCCCUAGUAAUACGUAAACCAUUUUUAGUCCCUGUAGUUUUGCUGUUUCCACAAAGUCAUGUAAAUGGAAUUGUAAGGUAUAUAAUCUUUUGUUUAUGUAGCAUAAUGCAUUUGAAACUCAUCCAUGUUGUUGUGUUUGUUAGCUUUUUUUUUUUUUACUGCUAAGCGGGUUUUCAUAUAUGUAUACACCACAGUUUAUUCAUUCAUUCACCAGUGGAAGGACAUUUAAGUUUUUUCCAGUUUGGGGCAAUUAUGAAUAAACGUGCAGUAAACAUUCACGUGAGGUUUUUGUGUGAACAUACAGUUUCAUUUCUCUUGGGCACAUAUCUAAUAUAUGGUAGGGUUCCUGAAUUACAUUGUAAAUGUAUGUUUAUAGAUGCAAAAAUUAUUAACAAAAUAUUGGUAAAUCACAUAGAAAAACACAUUUAAUAGAUAUUGCACCAUGAUCAAGUGGUUUUCAUCCCAGGUGUGCAAGGUUGGUUCAACAUAUGCAAAUCAAUAAAUGUAAUUCAUCACAUUAAGUAGAAUUAAGGACAAGAAUCGCAUGGUUAUCUCAAUAGAUGAAGAAAAUGUAUUUGACAAAGUCACACCCAUUCCUGUUCAAAACACUAGAGAAGCUAAGGAUAGAAGGAACUUAUCUCAACAUUGUAAUAGCUAUAUAUGACAAACCCAAGGCCAGCAUUACACUGAAUGAAGAAAAACUGAAAGCAUUUUCACUGAAAACAGGAACAAGACAAAGAUGCCCACUCUCACCACUCCUAUUCAACAUAGUUCUUGAAACUAUAGCCAGAGAAAUCAGGCAAGAGAAGGAAAUUAAAGGAAUACUAAUAGAAAAAAAAAAAAAAAAAAAGCUCAAAUUACCCCUGUUUACUUAUGACAUGAUCCUCUACUUUUUAGACCCAAAAAACUCUACCAGAAGAUUUCUAGAGCUGAUAAACACAUUUAGUAAAGUAGCAGGAUACAUAAAUCAAUCACUUUCUUAUGCUCUAAUAACGAAUCUGCUGAAAAAGAAAUUAGGAAAACUGCUCUCAUUCACAAUAACCUUUAAAAAAAAAAGUAAAAUAAAAUACUUGGGAAUUAACCUAAUGAAGGAUGUGAAGGACGUCUACAUUGAAAACUAGAACACUGAAGAAAGAAAUUUAAGAAGACUUAGAGGAUGGAAAGGCCUCCCAUGUUCUUAGAUAUGCAGAAUUAAUAUUGUCAAAAUGGCCAUACUACCAAAAGUAUUUGAUGCAAUCUCCAUCAAAAUGACAUUUUGCACAGAACUAGAAAAAGCAGUUCUAAAAUUCAUUUGGAAAAAUAAGAAACCCAGAAUAGCUAAAGUAAUCCUGAGCAAAAAAGAGUUAUGAUGGAGGUACUGCAGGCAUCAUGAUACUGGACAUCAAAUUAUACUACAGAGCUAUAUUAACAGAAACAGCAUGGUACUGGCACCAAAACAGACAUGAAGACCAAUGGAAAUGAAUAGAAAAACAGAGACAAACCCACAUAAAUACAGUUAUCUGAUGGUAGACAAAGAUGCCAAAAACAUGUUGGAGAUAAUACACACUUUUUAAUAAAUAGUGCUGGGAAAACUGGAAAUCCACAUGUAGAAGAAUGAAACUUGACCCCUCUCACCCCACACAAAUCAACUCAAAGUGGAUCAAAGACCUAGGAAUUAGACCAAAAAUUCUGCAACUACUAGAAGAAAAUGUAGGCCCAAUGCUUGAACAUGUUGGCACAGGAACCAGCUUCCUUCAUGAGACUCCUAAGGUCCAAUAAAUAAUACCAAAGAUCAAUAAGUGAGAUGGCAUCAAAUUAAAAAGCUUUUGGCUGGGAGUGGUGACACAUGCCUGUAAUCCCAGCAACUAGGGAGACAGGAGGAUUGUGAGUUCAAAGCCAGCCUUAGCAGAAGUGAGACACUAAGCAACUCAGUGAGACUCUGUCUCUAAAUAAAAACAAAAUUGGGCUGGGGAUGUGGCUCAGUGGUUGAAUGCCCCUGAGUUCAAUCCCUGGUAUAGAAAAAAGAAAAAAAAAAUUGCAUGGCAAAAGAAACAAGAGUAUGGAGAGGGCCUUGAGAAUGGGAGAAGAUCUUUGCCACGUGCUCCUCAGGUAGGACGCUAGAAUAUAUAUAAAGAACUUAGAAAACAACAUUAGGAAAAACAACACAAUAAAUUGCCGCAGUCUGGCUGGGCACAAAUGCCGCAGUCUGGCUGGGCACACAAUCACGAGCCACCACACAGCUUGUAGAUUCAAACAGCAACUCUUUAUUCCGGAACUCACACCAGCCGUCUACAAUCACGUUCUGGGGAAAUCCACGUUCUCUGCCCAAAUCCACGUCCACUGGGCUUCUAUCUCCAAAAUAUAUUGUCUGAAUCCCGUGAGAACUCAAGGGGAACUCAGGCAGCAGGAUACGCCCUAUUCCCAGCAGGAAUAAUCUUAAACCUUAAACCUGGAACCUAAACUGGGAACGCCCUAAACACGAUUAUCUUAAAACCGGGAACACCCUAAUCUGCCUUGGUCCUUGAGCAAGGUCACGUACAUUCAAUGUCACUGCAACAUGUCAGCAACAUGGGGUACGCUGGCAAGGAAAUUGUCAUACCUAUUUGGCUAAUGGCUCCCAGCAAUAAAUAGGCAAAAGAACUAAAUGGACACUUCUCAGAAGAAAUACAAAUGGUCAUAAAUAUAAGAAAAAAUGUUCAGCAUCUCUAGAAAUAGGGCAAUGCAAAUCAAAACUACAUUGGUAUUUCCUAAUGGCAGUUAAUAAUAAAUGUUGGUGAGGAUGUGGAGGGGAAAGUAUACUCUCAUUGUUGGUGUGAUUCCAAAUUAUUGCAACCACUCUCACUUCUCAGUACGUAUCCAAAAGAUGUAAGAUCAGCAUAUUAUAGGAAUGUAGCCACAUCAAUGUUUAUAGCAGCACAAUUCCAACAGCCAAGUUAUUAAGCCAACUGAGGUUCCCCUUCCAACAAAUGAAUGGAUAAAGAAAAAUAUAUAUAUAUAUAUAUACACACACACACACAAUGGAGCAUUACUAAGCCACAAAAAAGAAUGAAAUUAUGACAUUUGCUGGUAAAUGUAUGGAACUGGAGACUAUAAUGCUAAGUGAAAUAAGCCAGUCCCUCAAAGUCAAAGGUAAAAUGUUUUCUCUCAUAUUCAGAAGCCAGUCCAGAAUAAGGGAGGAAGGGAGUGGGGGAGAGAAAAGGUGAGGGAAUUCCAUCAGAAUUGAAGAAAGAUUAGUGGACUAUAUUAAGGGGAUUGAGGGGCAGGGAAGAGGGACAGGCUAAGGGAAUAACAGUGGAAUGAAUCUGAUCUAACUUUCCUAUGUACAUAUAUGAAUAUACAGUCUCACCAUCAUGCAUAUCCAUGACAUUAAUAAAAAAAAAACUAAUAGAUCAGGAGAAUAGAGGGAAGGAACAUGGGGAGGAAAGAGAAGGAGGAAAGGGCAAGUACUGAGGACUAAAUUAGAGCAAAUUAUGUUCUUUUAUAAUUAUUUCAAAAUGAAUCUUAAUAUUACAUAUAAUAAAAAGAACCAAUAAAAAUUCUUUUUCCUUAAAAGCUUUGUAAAAAGCUACCAAAAUGUUUGCCACGGUGGCUGUACCAUUUUUGCAUUACAACAGCCAUGUUUAAGUUUUUCAUAUCCUUGUAUCAUUUGGUAUUGUCAAAUUUUUCUUACUGUCCACAAGCCAUUUUCUUACUGUCCAUAAGCCAUAUAUAGUGGGUUUUUUAUCCUGUUGUUAUUUGCAUUUUCCUACUGACAAAUUAUGUUGAGCAUAUCUUUUCAUGCACUUAUUUUCCACUUGCAUAAUUUCUCUGGUGAAGUAUGUGUUACAAUUCUCUACUCACUUUUCUUGGGAUAUUAAUUUGUUUUCUUAUUGUUUUAAGAGUUCUUUAUAAAUUUUGGGUAUAAAUGCAAAAAUUUUUGCAGAUGUUACCUCCCAGUUCAUAGCUUGACUUUUCAUUUUAUAGACAUUUCCAAAGUGAAGUUUUUUAUUUUCAGAUGAAGUCCAAUUUAUCCAUUUUUUUCCCAUUUGUGGAUAAUGCUUUGCUUAUACGUACCUAUACAUAUGCAUGGCAUACAGGUCACAAAGAUUUUCUCUUGUAUUUCUUCCUAAAGUUUUACAGUUUUAGGUUCUCUUUUUAGGUCUAUGAUCCAUUUUUAGUUAGCUUUUGUAUAGUAUAGUUGGAGUUUCAUGUUCUCUGUAUAUUGAUAUCCAGUUCUUCUAGUACCAUUUGUUGAAAAAGAUUUUAACUUUCUCAUUAUCACCUUUGUGCUAUUUUGAUUAAAUAUUUUUCUAAGUCAAUUAAAUAACUUUUAAAAGGUAACCUAUAAAUUUUAUAAUUUGAGGAUUGAUUUGUGUUUUGGGAGUUUAUCAUUACUGAGCCUGCUAGUUUUAAAAAUUUAGAAUGUUAAUUGUAUUAGUUAUAAAUUUUACAGAGCAGUAGAUUCUUUGGUUAAAUACGCUGUGUAGUAAAUACUGAAUGAUACAGGAUAUAAUUGAGAGUGAAUAUACAUAAAGAACUUGAAUUUUCCUUGCACAAACUAAUGAUAAUUUAGAUGGUCCAUAUGUUCAUAUUUUAAGCAUCUUGACUUUUUCAAAUCUUUUUUACUUUAUCAAAUCAGUAUUUUUUCACAUGCAAAGCAGUUAUAUCUUUCAUAAAUUCAUUCAUAUUUUUCAUAAUUAAUAGAACAUGGCAAGUACAUAUGGAUGUUGUCAUUUGCAGUUUUCUUAGAAGUCCUUCUCAAAAAAUUAUUCAAGUUCUUAUUGUUAAAAACACAGGGAAGAAAUCAAAUGGUUUUUAUUCUGUUAACACAGGGUUGUUAGAUUCCUAUGGUAACAUCAAAACCAAAAGCAAUGAUUGGAAUAGGGAAGUUGAUUCUUUGUACACUUUCCUUGGUUGUGAAGGUUAACAUCAGUAAUGAUAGCCAGUUUCUUUUGCACAGAUUGAUCCAGUUCAGUUUCUCAAUUUCUGCAGCCCUGAGUUUCCACUCUUGGGUUCAGCUUUGUUGGCUUCAGCUACCACAAAGACUUCCUUUUGGCCUUUGCAGCUUUAAAAGAAUACUGAGCCUCUCUACUUCCCCUCAGCUCAAAUAUGAAGGUUAUCAAUUUGGGAUCUGUCAAUUUUCAUAUGCAUGGCAUUUGCCUUUCAAAUAGAAAUUUAAGAAUCAUUUAAUUUCUUAAAAAAAAAAGAAUCAUUGAAUUUCUGAUUUGAGUUGAAAUCUGACUUGAGAUUUGUUUUUGUCUUUUCUUAGGUUUGGUGUGGUGGACUUUCUUUGAGUACUGGGAUGCAGGUUCCAAGUGCUGUGAGAACACUUCAGAAAAGUGAAAAUGGAAUGACUGGUUCAGCCAGCAGCCUGAACAAUGUUACUCAGUAACGCCUAUGCAGAAUGUUUACCCUCCCUCUUGACUGGGUGGCCUUUUCUGUGCAGUUACCUAUCACAGAAAUUUGUGAGUGGUGGAAAUCAGGUUUGCUAUGUUCUGCUUUAAGGCCUGGAAUCUCUUAGCUUAAGCAUCUAGUAUGAAGCAUUUACAGGAAUCUACUGUGCAAUAUCAUAGAAGCAAGCAGUUCUGGAGCAAGAAACUGAUGUUUUGAAGAGUAAAUAGGAAAGAAGGCAGUGUUUAAAUAUUUAUAUAGAAACUCGUUUUUGUGUUUCUUUAAUUACUUUUGUUCUUUUAAAAUGUUUAAUUACAUUUGGUAAUCCUAGGGCCUGAAGUGAAAGGCUUUAAAAAUUUGCUUUUCUUUCUUGACUUUCUUUUUUCCUAUCUCAUCACUACCUGUUAUUUAGUAUACACUAAAUCUUUAAAAUUACAUAGCCCCAGCCCCACCAAGGUUUUCUAAAAAUUGAAAUCAUUGAUUGGGGACAGUAGAAGUUUGUUUUUUUUUUUUUUUCUUACAAUGGUGUAUUUCCCCCUUUUAUAAAUAAGUUGAGUUUUGCUAAAUUAACCUAUUUACUGACUAGUUUUUAUCUCAUCUUCUACUUUCCAGAAUAUAUUGGUAUUUCUCUUGUAGUUAUAACUCCAAAUACAGAGUGAAUAUGAAGAAUUUAAAAAGCUUAAAAUCACCCAGAUUUCAGUUUUGUAUCUGCUAUAGUAACACAAUGGCAAAGGGUUUGCUCUGACUACUUUGCAUUCCAUCACUUUGAAUGUUCAGCAAGAUUUUUAAAAGCCUUAUGUUUUCUGGUAUUGUUGUCUACUUUAACCCUACCUUUAGUAGUUAUCUUUGAUAAAAUUCCCCACUCAUAUUUGGCACUGAUUGUAAUUAUACUCAUUUUUUUAAAAAAAUUAAUAGGAAUGAAAAAAUUUUUAACAUGGUUAAGGGUAGAAUACCAAAGGGAUGUACCUAAAAGUAUUCUUUAGUAAUUAUUUAUUCUUUUUAAUAAGAUGUAGGAAAGGUUGAAACAACUGGAAAAAAAUCUACAUAUCUCUGACUUAAUUGGUGUGUUUUUCAACCAACCAUUCAGAGGUUUUGGGGGUUUUUACCCCCUUAUCCUUUUUGCUAAAGUCAUAUGCUUUUUAAAGGGGUAUAAUUCUUCUAAAAAUCAACAUAGUCAUGUUUCCCAGCCUUGGGAGUGGUAUAUUUAAAUUUAAACAAUGAGUGGUAUUGAACAGAACAAAUCUAUUCUUAAAAAAUUGAUCAAAGUUUGUUACUCAAGUCCUUUGAGCUAAACUAAAAGUUAUAAUUACAGUAUUUAAGAUUUCCUUGAGCAUUUUAAAGAAAUUAAAAUUUAUAUUUUACUUAGUUUUUAAUUUCUUUUAUUCUUUCAUUCUCAUUUUAAAUAUCUUGUAAUAUGACAGCCUUCUUCUGUACCUUUGUUGCUUACAUUUGAGUUGUUUUCUAUAAAAAGACCUGCCCUCUUAAAAUUUACUGCUUACGAUAUGAUGUUUUGUUUCAUUGAUAAAAACAGAUGUAAAUGAGGACUUAUAUUUGACCUGGGGUAUUAUUUUCUUUUCUAGAGGACAGAUAUCCACACUAUUAUCUAAUAAUAGGUUGGUAAUUUUAAAGACUGUAAGGCAGUUAAGGGAAUAAAGUAUGUCAAUAGAUAGUCUUGAGUCUCCAAGUAUAAUUUUGGUUUUUGUUUGUUGUAUUUGGAAAGAAAUUUUUGGAAAGUUCUAUUCCCUAUAGAAGGGCUAUUCUAAGACCCAAGGAAACAGGAAUUUAUUUCCUUUCACACUCCAAAGCAGUAAUUUAGUGGAGUGGCUUUGUGUGAAAAGCUGUACACAGUAUAUUUUAGCAAAUACAAAACAAAAAAACCCAGAUGUUCUUGUAUAGAAUUUUUUUUACUAUUAUGUAUUAUAUAAUUGUCUUCUCAUUAAUUCAGUGCCUUUUUCCUCUAAGCAUGCUCUUUCUUCAUGCCUCAUGCAGUGUCAACUGAUAUUUAAGCCAGACAUAUUACAGUUGUGAGAGCCUUCUGUUGCAAGGGCAUGGGAAAAAUGAAAUAUUAAUUGGGCUGAAAGAGUGCAUACAAUUCUUUUUUGUGUUCUGCCAUCAUUUGGAAUUUGCAUAUAAAUUUUCUAACACUCAUUUGCAAAAUGUUCUAAUUUCAUUGGGAAUUAAUUACUAGCAGCUUUGUAGUAAUAAAUUCAGUAAAUCUGGAGUCCAAGCUCACAUCACAUGUAAUACUUGAUAUUAAAUUAUACCAUCAUUACAUCAAAAUUAGAAUCUGAAGGCUCCCUCUCUGCUGCUGCUUCAGGGUCUCUAAAUUAAGAGCAAAAUGUGAAGUGUUUUAGUUUAACAAUUUUAAGUUGGAUGAAAAAGUCUGUCAUCCUCAUUUUUAAACUAAAAAAUAAUUGAAUAUAGUGCCUAUUUAAAUAAUCUCAAAUAAGGUAACUAUUAACUUGAUAAUAUUUAACAUUUUCAUUGAUGUUUUGAGUUAUAAUGAGCUCUCUUGCUCAAUUCAUUAUGGAAAGUUGCUAAACACUUUUAAAUAUCCUUUAUUGCUUUAUUUACCUUUUGUUUUGACAGGUCAAACAUGACUGCUUUCUAUAAAAGAAAUGCAUGAGAAGUUGACUAUCGUAGGUGCAAAAAUUAUGUUUUAUAAAAAUAUGCAUUAGUAUUGCAUUUCCCUCUUACCAGUUGAAUUCCAAGCCAGUUGUAUUAAACUGGAUAUAGAAAUGAAGGAGCUGCCUUAAGCACUUUAGAAAAGGAAAUUUUCUACAAUUCAUUUUGACACUUGCAGCUUACCAUGUCACAUACAUCUUUAACUUUGGUAAAUAUGUAUAUACCAAGCAUUUAAUAAUAAUGCACAUAGAAAUUUAAUAUACAGUAAUUAUUUGAAUGUUCCAGGUAUAGGUGAAUAAAUUUACAGUAUUAGGGGCAUAUCUUGUCUGUACAUGGGUUUAAUUAUUGGCAUCUGUACCAUUUGACAAACCAUUAACUACUGCUAUACAGCUUACCUUGUUCUGCAAAUAGUAACCAUUCCCUGUGUUAUAUAAAGUGACAUAUUAACUUGCAUUUAUUUUCUCAUUUAUGAAAUUAAAGCAUGAAUAAUAUCAUGUAUAAUUUGAACUGUGAUCCUUGGUGGUAUAAAUAAUAAAAGUAAAUAUUUGUGAUAAAAUCUUUUAAUUAGGCUAAGAUAUUGUUUCAUGACUUACUUAGAAUAAUUAGGUUUUUUUAUGUUUCCAUAAAAUUUUUGUUAUUUGUAUAUUAUUAUUUCUUUUAAAAACAAUUUUGGAAAAGGAUAUAUGUUAAAAAUGAUUAUUCCUCAAAGAGUUUUAAAAGAAAGUAUAACAUCUUAUUAUGAAAUAUGUGAUUCUGGGGUUUAAAAAUUUGGCAAUUUUCAAAUCAUCAUAAUUUCUUAAAGAAUGUAUUUAUUAGAUCUGUGUUCAUUGAUAGGCUAAUUCAUAAAACAAAUAUUUGAGUGUCUGUGAUAUGGCAGUGAAAAUUUUAUUACUUUGCAUUCACAUUUUCAAAACUAGUGUAUUCAAUUUAUUGUGCAGCUAGUUUUGCUUCUUUUUAGUAUGCUGAGACUGCAUUUUAAAAAUAAUGUUUUGUUAAAAAGUCAGAAGUGUUAAAAAGUAAAUUUGUUAGUUUUUAAAAAGCUCAAAUUAACUGCGUAUAAUAUGGUUCACUUUUAUGUAAUCACAUAACAUAGGUUCAGCAAAGCUUAUUUCUUGAGUUUAUUUUUACUAGAUAUAGUCUUUCAGAGAAGUGUAUGGUCACUCUGUAUACAGGUAACCAUAAAAUUAUUUGUUAUUUUUAACCAAAACGUACAUUUCAUAAUGCCAGCACUGGAGUAUUAUAAAGAUCAUGUUUUCUUAGCCAUCAUAGCAAGAUUACCUCAUGUUCAUAGUAGUUUUAGUGGGUUUUUUUUUUUACAGUAUUUACAUUUCUGCAAUUAUGUGUGAUUUUUAAUGUCACAUAUGAUAGCACUGUUACCUGGAAUAUAUGAUUAACCUACAUAAACAUUUUUAAUUGGUUUUGGACAUGUCAUAUAAAGGUUAGUACUGGCUUAAUAAACAGAUACCAGAAAUUGCCACCGUACUUUUCUCCUUGGACUACCCAAUUAUUAAGCUAAAAGUAUUUGUUAUUUUGGGGUCAGUAUAGGGUACUGACUUUUGAUUCAUAAUCUUUUAAGUUAUAUUUGUUUAAGGUGAUAUGUUUUCUUAAUAAUACCCAGUCAAUAUAUGUUAGUCCUUAGGAAUGGAUGUAUAGAGGAUUUCACAGUAAUGUAGGGCAGAAGGUAGGUGAACGUGUUUGCUUUGGCUUGGCACUUAUUAAGUUUGGACUAAUUUAAAAUAAGUCAAAUUGUAAGUGAUUGGCAAAAGCCAUUUUAUUAAUAUUGGAACUUUUUGGAGAGCACAGAACAAUGAGAAUCCAUCUUUUAAAAACAUAUAUAAAACAUUUCUGAUAUCUCUAAGGUACCAAAGCACUGAGUCUAAUUCACCUAAUCUAAGGGAGACUCUUUAAAAUCAAAUUUAUAACUAAUUCAUACUAUAAGAUACAUAAUAGCUAAAGUUUUAGAGUAAUAUAAUUUAUAUUAAAAACCACUAGUCUUUAAAAUACCUAUAUGUGAUAUUAAGAUGAUUUUGGCAUCUUUUUCAAAAGUAUUCAAAAUUUAUCACCUUAGCUUUGUCAUAUACUAGGUCUGUGACAAUUGUGUAAAUCACUCAUCACCUUUGGGCCUCUGUUGCCUUACUUAACUCAUUAUGUCUCAAUUUCCCAAAUAUAAGACACCUAUAAAAACCUAUAAAAUUGCUCAAUUUAAGUUUUUAUAGGUGUCCUAUACAUAGGAGGAGACAGUGGGUUAAAAUAAUUGUAACUUGUUCAGCCUACCUCACAGGGCUGUUGUGAGGAAUAAAUGGAUGGAGUAUGUGAAAUUGCUUCAACAACAGCAAAGUGCUAUGUAAAUGUAAGCUGUUAUUUUUAGUUAAUGGAUUUAAGUGUUCGGAUACUUCUAAAUGCCAUUUACUUUGAUAAAGCAUGUUCUUAAAGUGGUAUCAUCAUUGAUUUUAAAUGUGAUUUUUAAAAUAAAACCUUUUAUCAAGAUGUCAUAUAAUAUUAAUUUAGUUUGUGCAUUACUUGUGGCCUUUUAAUAUUUUCUUAUCUAUUUUAAGACUUUUUAGAGUAGUAAAAGUUCUUCCAUGGCAUUAGUGUAUCAGUGUAGAAGUAUAGCAUAAAGAAACAGUUUUUAAGCAAGCUGCUACUUUUCCAUACAGGAAUUUGAACUUUCAGCUUAAGACUACUCAGUGCCAUGUGCAAAGAGUGAAUUUGGCCUGAAUAACUUUUUUUCCAAACAACUAAAUGGUUCAGGAGUUUGUGUGCUCAGUGAACAUUUGACAACAGUAUUGCAUUGUCCUUUUUAAAAAACAAGAUGCAUUUCAAAACCUUGUAGUAAACCUAAAUAUCAUUUAUUAUCUCACAUACUUAUUUUGCUUUAAAUUAGAUUUAUUAAUGGGGAUUUUUACAAGUUAUGUUAAUCUACAAAUUUCAUAUGUCUAUUAUCUGGACAUGGUUUCACUAUGCAGUAAUAAAAAUUCUAAUUCCUCAGGUUUAACCUUUAAGUUAUGGAUGAAGAACAUUAAUAAACCACAUAUAUGCUCAGUUCUGCAACACUGAGUUAAUGAACAUAUUGCCUCAUUUUCCUUAGAAACAACACAAAGCUUUAAAAUGGUUGUCUUUAAAAUAGAGUAUUUGAAGUGUAGUAACUUGUAUGUUUAAGUAAUAGUAUGUUGUGUAUAGAAUAUCCUAGUUAAGUUUUUACAAAAGCACUUGGAAUAUCUCAUCUAAAAAUUAAACAUUUUUCUCUUUCUUUUGCUUCAGUGCUUGA